rnacentral:lncRNA from 1 species
CAAGAUUGAAUGGCCAAUUCUCCUCCGGACCCUCGAUUCGAUUGUUUUCUAAGAAUAUUGAGCUGGGUAUGUAAGCCAUGUAUCUGGGAGGAACUUUAAAGAAAGGCUUUCGGUUCUUUGCACCCCGUUUUGGUCUUGCAGCUAUUUAAAUAAUAAUAAUAAAGAUAUAUAUAAGAAUCUCUUUUUUAGAAGAAAGAUUCUAUAUAUGUCCAAUCUCUAGUGGUGGUGGGACCAACCAAGAUGUAUGUCGUCCGACCCGACCUCAGACUCUUUCUUCCCGACCUAUUUUACUCUCUGGCCGCAACUAUUUAGGUGGUAUCCCGAGAUUGAAGAGAUCGAAUUCCUCCCGGGAACACACGAAACAAAGAUAUGAACUAGGUAAAUAGAAAUUGAAAAGAGAUGUUUCCAAUUCAUCAAAAUGAUAAGCUUUUUAUACAUCCAUAUGAUCUACUAAAGUGAAAGUAGAUCGGUAUUGCCCAUAUAAUAAAAGCAGAUCUUGGUCCAUGGAGUCCCAAGAAGGUAAGAACUCCAACCUGUCUGAUGCUUCUUCGGCCAAAUACGAUAUACAACUUGAACUAGGUAAAUAGAAAUUGAAAAGAGAUGUUUCCAAUUCAUCAAAAUGAUAAGCUUUUUCUACAUCCAUAUGAUCUACUAAAGUGAAAGUAGAUCGGUAUUGCCCAUAUAAUAAAAGCAGAUCUUGGUCCAUGGAGUCCCAAGAAGGUAAGAACUCCAACCUGUCUGAUGCUUCUUCGGCCAAAUACGAUAUACAACUUGGGCGAAAAAUCGCUUCUUUUUUCCGGUUCCGAAACAACUUGGGCGAAAUAGGGUUCUACCGGGAAACCAUGGAUUUUUGAGUUUUCGCCAUUGGUUACUAGUUGAGCCACUGGAAUGGAAUGUGAUAAGAAUCUCUGGAGAUCUUUCCUCUCCACUUACUCGUAACAGGCUUUCCCUCUGUAGAAGACUUCUUCCGAAUGACAUAAUUGUCCUAUUUUUUCCUUGAUCUUCAAAUAAAACUAACUCCUCCUACUCCUCCUUCUCCUUUAGGAUAGGAUCAUCGUUGGUCCUUCUUUCACUAAUGAUCUAACCAUUUUCUAGUAGUUCGCGUGAGGGACUAUCCUUUCUAUCGCUUGCCCUUGUUUUUCACUCUCAAGACAAGGCUCUCUCUUCUAUAAAGCGAAGCAAAACGCAUGGCGCUGAAGUGAAGAAAGCUCAAUAAAGACACACGAACACGAUGCAAGGCAUGGCAUAAAUGUAACCGCUAAUCAUUUCAUAAAACAUAUAUGUUUGACCUUUCUCGAUGCUUUUUUGGGGGUGACUCACCAACCGACCCAGCAGUGAUCAAUGACAGAAUGGUACGAACAAAUCAAAGUCAUUAGAUUUGGUAGUUCUCCAUGGACUUCUCUAUUUACCCCUUUGCAUAUGUUCGUGCACCUCCAGAUGGGCGGGGGUCAGCCUCCCACUCCCUUAUACAGCAUUUAUUAGCUU